rnacentral:lncRNA from 1 species
UCUGUUAUAAAUCCUUUGAGUACUAUGUGUGUCAGCAUUACCGAUCCAGGGAUGACACUGAACACAGAGAUUUGACCGUCUGAGGUCGGAUCGCUACAAGAUGGUAUCAGAGCACACGCUGAAUGUAGGACACGACCACUAAGAUGAGCCAUAGGUCACUCUUCUCUACUCAUUUCUGACUCUUCUCCAUUUUCUACUCUUUAGGAUGACGGACUCAAGGAACAGGUUUACACAACCGGAUGAAGACACACCUUUUGGACGACACUUGAAGGAAGUCACUAGGUACCUGAACAUUGGAAUACCCAGCUUCACCGGGACCUACACCGCCACUUUACCAUAAGAGGAGAGCUGGAUGAUUCGAGUUCAAGUUCCAGGAAGGACAUUCACGCCAGUCACUGAGCCCAUAGAGUUUUCCUUUGAUGCACCCACCUAGAGUCUAGGCAAGAGCAUGGCAGCCCACAUUGCUAUGGGAUGAAUUGGAAAAGUCUACAAACAGGAGCUGAAGGACACUAUCUACCAGAUAUGUGGGUGCCGAGAUGAGUAAUGGGAGAUGAUCAGCACCAGGAGGGAUAGGUCCAUUGCAGCUUUCAUCCAGGAGUUAAACCAGCACAUUCGUUGACAGGAGAAUCAGAUGUGCGCACACAUGAUAGAUUUGAAGAAGGCGCUGAACAGGAACACGGAACUAGAAGAGGAAAUCUAGUCUACUCGCGAUGGAUAUGAGGAGGAAUUCGUGAUACUUGUGGAGAAGAAUGACGACCUGACAAGGAAGCUAGGAGUAUUCAUGGGAGACCCCGCGCCAGGAGGAGAAGACGACGAACCCAAGGAGAUUCGUUCUGAAGACUACAUCAUCAUCAACGACACCGACUCCGACCCUGAUGGUAGUGAUGAUGAUUAUGAAGACAAAGCUGGAGCAGAUAUCAUGGAGUCUUCCACCGAUCAAUAUUUCUAGAUGACCACCAUAUGAUUAGUAGUUAUUCCCCAUGUAUAUAGUAGUAGUCCGAGCACUUUUGUAACGAUAGUUCUAGACCGAUUGUAUGCCCUUGCUUGAAUUGAUUUGGUGUGAUAUGAUUGAGUUUGUCUCAUGUGCAUAUGGGUAGUGCUUUCUCACUAUACCUCAUUUCUAUUCUAAUCUCUCCCCUCUAAACCCAUCAGAUGCCUUCGAGACGUGACACCGGAUUUGUCUUCCCACCGGAGAUCACUCAGUUGAUCCAACAGUAGAAUGCCUUGAUGCAGAUAUUAGUCCAGAACCAAGGCAACAACAACAACCCUCCACCACCACCACCAGUCGACAACUUAGCCCAUUUUGGGAGGUUGCAGCCGCCGGUGUUUUCUAGUAGCACCGAGCCAAUAGUUGCCGAUGACUCGCUACGCAAGAUUGGAAGGGAGUUGACCACCGGAGGAUGCACAGAUGCUGAGAAGGUGUGCUUUGCCGCACAUCAAUUGGAAGGACCAGCAGCUUCAUGGUGGGAGAAUUACACGACCACUUUCCCUAUAGCCAAUAUCACUUGGGAUCAGUUUCAGAAGCAUUCCGCACAGCCCAUGUCUCAACUGGAGCUAUGAGCAUGAAGAAGCACGAGUUUUGCAACUUGCGCUAGGGAAAUCAUACUGUGGCUUAGUACAUAGAUGAGUUUAGUAAGCUAUCUCACUAUGCCCCAGAUGAUGUGGCCAUAGAUGCCGCGAAGCAGGAGAAGUUUAUGGAAGGGCUAAAUGAUGAGAUGAUCAUGCAGUUGAUGGUGGCAACAUUUAACAACUACCAGGAGCUGGUAUACAAGGCUCUUAUGAUUGAUGGGAAGCAGCAGCAGAUUGAAAGCCGCAAGAGGAAGUAUGGACAAGGAAAGUACAAUUCUGGAGCUCAACAGAAGCCCCGUUUCACCCCGAACUCGGGAGGAUUUACCCAUAACCAUGGAGGCCACACCCAUAACGAAGGGAGUUCUCAUAACCACAAUGGCCCCAAGAAUGGGAAUGGGAAUGGAGCAAGCAGUAAUCAGAACCGCUCCAAUCCAGCCACACCCGCCAAGAAGGACCUAAGUCACAUUACUUGUUUCAAGUGCGGGAAGACUGGACACUAUGCCACUGAGUGCCCUGAAGUGAAGAAUGGGAAUGGCAAUGGAAGCUCUGGGAAGAAGCCCAACCCUUUCAACAGGGGACAAGUUAACCACGUGAACGUGGAGGAGGUUGAAGAGCAGCCUGAUGCAGUUAUCGGUAAGUUUUUGGUUAAGUCGUUUAUUGCAAUUGUUCUUUUUGAUACUGGUGCAUCAAAUUCAUACAUUUCAAGGGGAUUCGUGGAUAAAUAUAAGCUGCCCACCAAAGUACUUAGGACACCUAUGUUAGUAAGCUCACCAGGAGCGGAGUAUAUGGCAAGUCAAGGGUGUUUUCAGAUGCCAUUGACCAUUGGAAGCCAUGUUUUCCCCUCAGACCUGAUAAUUUUGGAGUCACAAGGAUUGGAUGUGAUACUAGGUAUGGAUUGGUUGUCGAUGUAUGGAGGAAACAUCGAUUGCGCCUGUAAGUCAAUUUUGCUCACCACACCGGAGGGAAAAAGGAUCAAGCAUGUAUCUAGGCAUGUGCCUAGGAGGACUCAAGUAAAUUCUCUCUCGGGAGUUGUUCAGGAGGAAGUGCUUGUAGUGAAGGAUUACCCAAAUGUAUUUCCAGAGGAACUACCAGGCAUGCCGCCAGAUCGAGACAUCGAGUUUUUGAUAGAGUUAUUGCCAGGCACCGGACCGAUAUCGAAGAGACCAUACCGGUUGCCCGCGAAUGAUUUGGAAGAGAUCAAGAAGCAGAUUAAGGAGUUAUUGGAGAAGGGUUACAUUCGACGAAGCUCAUCACCAUGGGGAGCCCCAGUGCUCUUGGUCGAGAAGAAGGAUGGAUCCUUAAGAAUGGUUGUUGAUUACCGUGUGUUGAAUGAGGUGACAAUCAAGAACAAGUACCCACUGCCGAAGUAUUCUCCAAGAUCGAUCUGCGAUCAGGGUACCAUCAGCUGAAGAUCCGAGAAAAGGAUAUACCUAAGACAGCGUUCACCACAAGGUAUGUGUUAUAUGAGUAUACGAUCAUGUCAUUUGGAUUGACUAACGCCCCUGCCUAUUUCAUGAGUAUGAUGAAUAAGGUGUUUAUGGAGUUUUUGGACAAAUUUGUUGUGGUGUUCAUUGAUGAUAUCUUGGUAUACUCGAAGAACGAGGAGGAACACAAGGAACAUUUGCGUUUGGUUCUUGAGAAGCUCAGGGAACAUCAGUUAUAUGCCAAGUUCAGCAAAUGUGAGUUUUGGUUGAAGGAAGUUGGAUUUCUUGGACAUGUUAUAUGAGGAGAAGGUAUAGCAGUGGAUCCUCCCAAGGUUCAGUCAGUCACUGAGUGGUUGGCACCCACCACAGUUGGAGAGAUCCAGAGUUUUCUUGGACUCGCGGGAUACUAUCGGAGAUUCAUUGAGAAUUUCUCCAAGAUUGCGAAGCCUAUGACGGCAUUGUUGAAGAAGGACACCAAGUUCCAUUGGACUGAAGAAUGCGAAGCAAGUUUUCAGGAGUUGAAGAAACGUUUGACUACAACCCCAGUGUUGAUUCUGCCGGAUAUACGCAAGGAUUUCCAAGUGUAUUGCGAUGCCUCUCGCCUAGGACUUGGAGGAGUACUUAUGCAAGACGGAAGAGUUGUUUCAUAUGCCUCAUGUCAACUUUGACCGCACGAGUUGAAUUAUGCCAUGCAUGAUUUGGAGUUAGCAGCUGUAGUGCAUGCCCUCAAGACCUAGAGGCAUUUUCUUAUUGGAAACCGUUGUGAUGUGUACACGGAUCGCAAGAGUUUGAAGUACAUUUUCACUCAGAAGGAGCUGAACCUCAGGCAGAGGAGAUGGUUGGAACUCAUAAAGGAUUAUGAUAUGAAGUUGCACUAUCAUCCAGGCAAGGCCAAUGUCAUAGCAGACGCUUUGAGCCGGAAGAGUUAUGCCAAUACCCUCGUAAGCGGAGGAUUGCCAAAGGAGUUAGCAGAAGAACUCAGGGAGCUUCGUUUGGAGAUAGUUCCGAGAGGUUUUGUUGGAGCAUUGGAAGUUCAAUCAACGUUAUUGGGAAAGAUUCGAGAAGCUCAGAAGGAGGACAAACAAAUUGCCGAGAUAAAGGAGAAGAUGAGUGAAGGAAAAGCCAAAGGUUUUCGUGAGGAUGAGCACGGCACCUUGUGGUUUGAGGACCGUGUAUAUGUUCCCAAUAAUGUCGAGAUCAGGAAAUUGAUACUACAGGAAGCUCAUGACUCGCCAUACUCGAUACACCCCGGAAACACUAAGAUGUAUUUGGAUUUGAAGGGACGUUUCUGGUGGACUGGAAUGAAGAAGGACAUUGCCGAGUAUGUAGCCAUAUGUGAUGUAUGUCAGAGAGUGAAGGCAGAACAUCAGAAGCCAGCAGGAUUACUGCAACCUAUGCCGAUACCCGAAUGGAAGUGGGACAAGCUUGGCAUGGAUUUUAUCACCGGAUUAACCAGGACCCGAUCAGGAUAUGAUUCUAUUUGGGUAGUAGUGGAUCGCUUGACCAAAGUAGCUCACUUUAUCCAGUGAAAACCACCUAUACCAGUGCAAAGUUGGCCAACAUAUAUAUGACCAGGAUCGUAUUUCUGCACGGAGUUCCGAGGACCAUCAUAUCAGAUAGAGGAACGCAGUUAACUUCAAAGUUUUGGCACUAGCUGCACCAGACCUUGGGUACCAGGCUAGAGUUCAGUACAGCCUUUCAUCCGCAGACAGAUGGACAGACCGAGAGAGUCAAUCAGAUUCUGGAGGACAUGUUGAGAGCUUGUGCGCUAGAUUAUGGAUCUAGUUGGGAUGACAAUUUGCCCUACGCGGAAUUCUCGUACAACAAUAGCUACCAGGCCAGCUUGAAGAUGGCACCGUUCGAAGCCUUGUAUGGAAGAAGAUGCCGAACACCGUUGAUGUGGGAUGAAGUUGGAGACCGUCAGUUGUUUGGACCGGAUUUGAUUAAAGAGUCGGAAGAGAAGGUUAAGCUGAUUCGAGAUAGACUGAAGGUAGCUCAGUCCAGACAGAAGAGUUAUGCAGAUUCAAAAUGCAAGGAGGUAGUCUAUGAAAUUGGAGACACAGCAUAUCUGUGUCACCUCUGCGAGGAGUUAACCGUUUCGGAGUAAAGGGAACGUUUGUCCGUACAUUCGUUUUAACGAACGCUGUUCGUCAGUUAGCCGCAGAUAGCGAACGUUUGUUCGUUAGCCUGUUCGUCUUGUUUUUUUUUCCAGGGUUUUUCCGUGAUUAUUUUUGAUCGCGAUUUCUGCCUUGAUCUUCGUUUUAGUUUAUCUUUUCGCUCGUUUAUCCAAAUCAGGUGAAACAAGCGCCUAGAUCUUCGUCUCGAAGCCCUCUUUCUGUUUAACCAACUUGAACAAGAUUUUGGUACUGUAAAAUUUGACUUUAGUCCAGAUUAGUAAACGAAUCUUGUUUCUUUCGUAGUUUGAGUUUCGUUGCUCCGUUUGAUUUGAUUCUUUUUGCAAACCGGACUUCUUCAGUUGAACUUUCUGGUUAGAUCUUCCUAUUUGAGUUUUACCCAUGCAUAUUUGCUUGAUUGCUUAUGUAUGUUAUUGUUUGUUUGCGAUAGAAUUCCCGGAGUGCGAAGCGUGCUACUACGAGUCACUAGGUUUUGCGGAUCGUCAGCAAGGCAAGUAACACAUUGAUCAUACUCUUUUCAUACCCAGUUUUUAUGCAUUAGUUACAAUCCUCAAACACUGCAUGAUUAGGAAGUGAUUAACUUGUGGGUUUUGGGAAGUAGAUGAUGAGGUAGAACCUAUUACCUGUUUUAUUAUCAAACCUUUGGGAGUUACUUCUACGUUAUGCUUAUAUUGCCAUGCUAUGCUCGUAGACGUGGAUUGGGUUUGAGUGUAUCCAUGACAGAUGUGAGUUGUUAAUUAAUGGUUCAACUUAAGGUGGCAACAUUAAUACACAUCUGGGUGGAUUGCUUGUGGGCACCUGGAGAAUCCAGUGUUGUCCUAGGAUAUCCUGGAGUACCCGUGUGAUCAUCCUACGGCCCGCCACCCAGGCUCAAAGGGAUCAUAAGAUUAUUCAUGCUAGAAACUUCCGUGUGCAGCCACAAGCUAUUAUGGGCUCUAGCAUAGUUGAGUAGGUUGCAUGACCUCUUUCAGUGUUAGGCUAGCAGAUGUACAGGGAAAGUAGGUGCAACUGUCUACCCAGAGUAAAGAGUUAGUGUUUCUGAAAGACUGUGUCUCGGUCAUCCGUUUCUCAAACACCAUGUAGUGCGAGAAAUCCAACAGAGGUGAUCGAGUCUUGUGGGGAAAAGUGUGCAAACCUCUGCAGAGUGUAUAAACUAAUCAUGGUUAGCCGUGUCCCCGGUUAUGGACAUCUUGAGUAUCUGGUACUUGAAUUAUUGAUUUGAUCUCAUCACUCUAAGCUAAUUUGAUGGGUUGUAAAUGACUACUUUAAUUGGGAUUGAGUUGGAGGAACCUUCUCAAUGAUGUUUCAACCACCAUGAUAGUUAAAUAAAAUCUAUUCCUUUGUUGUAGGGAAAAUUGGCUUUUUGCAAAACAUUAUAACCAUAGAGCCUCCACCAGCCAUAUAUGCAUGUAGUGAUAGCAUUUAUCAGUUCAUUGCUCUACCGUGUUAUAUUGCCAGCAUAUUCCAUGUGCUGUCCCGUUUUGGGCUGCAACAUAUCAUGUUGCAGACUUUUCAGACGAAGAGUAAGGUGUGCUAGGUCGUUUGUCAUGCACUCAGCUAUGCCGUUGGAGUUGAUGGACUCACUUUAUCUUCCAAGCCUUCCGCUGCUAUCUUAUUUAGAUGGCCUUAAGCCAUUUUUAUUGUUAUAAGUUCUCUUUUGAGAAAUUCGAUGUAAUAAGUGUGUGAUUGCCACUCUGUUAUAAAUCCUUCGAGUACUGUGUGUGUCAGCAUUACCGAUCCAGGGAUGACACUGAACACAGAGAUUUGACCGUCUGAGGUCGGAUCGCUACAGCCACCUUCAUAAUUCUUUCAUACAUGUCACUCUUGAUUCAUUGCACAUCCCGGUACACUGCCGGAGGCAUUCACAAAGAGUCAUAUUUUGUUCUAAGUAUUGAGUUAUAAUUCUUGAGUUGUAAGUAAAUAAAAGUGUGAUGAUCAUCAUUAUUAGAGCAUUUUUCCAGUGAGGAAAGGAUGAUGGAGACUAUGAUUCCCCCACAAGUCGGGAUGAGACUCCAGACAAAAAAUAAAAAAAGAGAAAAAAUGAGGCCAUAAAAAAAGAGAAAGGCCCAAAUAAAAAAAUGAGAG